rnacentral:rRNA from 1 species
CACGUAGGGCGCAAGCGUUGUCCGGAAUUAUUGGGCGUAAAGAGCUCGUAGGCGGUCUGUUGCGUCCGCUGUGAAAACUCGGGGCUUAACCCCGAGCCUGCAGUGGAUACGGGCAGACUAGAGGUAGGUAGGGGAGAAUGGAAUUCCCGGUGUAGCGGUGAAAUGCGCAGAUAUCAGGAGGAACACCGGCGGCGAAGGCGGCACUCUGGGCCGGUACUGACGCUGAGGAGCGAAAGCGUGGGGAGCGAACAGG